UACGUAGGGGGCUAGCGUUGUCCGGAAUCAUUGGGCGUAAAGAGCGCGCAGGCGGUCGUACAAGUCGCGUGUGAAAGCCCCUGGCUCAACUGGGGAGGGUCACGCGAUACUGUUCGACUUGAAGGCAGGAGAGGGAAGUGGAAUUCCCGGUGUAGUGGUGAAAUGCGUAGAUAUCGGGAGGAACACCAGUGGCGAAGGCGGCUUUCUGGACAUUUACUGACGCUGAGACGCGAAAGCGUGGGGAGCAAACAGG
rnacentral:rRNA from 1 species